rnacentral:rRNA from 1 species
GACCCGAAAGAUGGUGAACUAUGCCCGAGUAGGGCGAAGCCAGAGGAAACUCUGGUGGAAGCCCGUAGCGGUUCUGACGUGCAAAUCGAUCGUCAAACUUGGGUAUAGGGGCGAAAGACUAAUCGAACCAUCUAGUAGCUGGUUCCCUCCGAAGUUUCCCUCAGGAUAGCUGGAGCCCGUUGCGCAGUUUUAUCAGGUAAAGCGAAUGAUUAGAGGUCUUGGGGUCGAAACGACCUCAACCUAUUCUCAAACUUUAAAUGGGUAAGACGUCCGGCUUGCUCGAGCGAAGUCGGGCCACGAAUGCCGGGGCUCCCAGUGGGCCAUUUUUGGUAAGCAGAACUGGCGAUGCGGGAUGAACCGAACGCCGGGUUAAGGUGCCCGAAUCGACGCUCAUCAGAUCCCACGAAAGGUGUUGGUUGAUCUAGACAGCAGGACGGUGGCCAUGGAAGUCGGAAUCCGCUAAGGAGUGUGUAACAACUCACCUGCCGAAUCAACUAGCCCUGAAAAUGGAUGGCGCUGAAGCGUCGUACCCAGACCCGGCCGUCGGGCCGCGCGGUACGGUCCGACGAGUAGGAGGGCGCGGCGGUGGCGGUGCAGCUUCGGGCGCGAGCCCGGGUGAAGCCUCCGCCGGUGCAGAUCUUGGUGGUAGUAGCAACUAUUCAAACGAGAUCUUUGAAGACUGAAGUGGAGUAGGGUUCCAUGUGACCAGCACUUGGACAUGGGUUAGUCGAUCCUAAGGGGAGGGAGAGUUCCCCGUGGAAGGUGCAAUCGCCUCGCGGCGACGGCACCGUUCUCCCCGAAAGGGAGUCGGGUCAACAUUCCCGAACCGGGAUGCGGGUAGGCCCUCGCGGCCACGGCGGCAACGCAAGCGAACUCGGAGACGUCGGCGGGAGCCCCGGGAAGAGUUCUCUUUUCUUCUUAACGGGCCCGUCCCCUGGAAUCAGGUUGGCUGGAGAUAGGGCGUUGCGCCCGGUAAAGCGUCACACUUGUGGUGGCGUCCGGUGCGCUCCCGACGGCCCGUGAAAAUCCGAGGGAGCGUCUGAUCCUCGCGCCCGGUCGUACCGAUAUCCGCAUCAGGUCUCCAAGGU